rnacentral:miRNA from 1 species
AGUAGGAUUCACCUGGGUUCCUGUUUAAAUGCAGAUUAUAAUUGUGCUGAGAUUCUGCAGUUCUAACAAUUUCCCAGGUGAUCCCAAU